rnacentral:rRNA from 1 species
GUGGGGAAUAUUGGACAAUGGGCGAAAGCCUGAUCCAGCCAUGCCGCGUGUGUGAAGAAGGUCUUCGGAUUGUAAAGCACUUUAAGUUGGGAGGAAGGGCAGUAAGUUAAUACCUUGCUGUUUUGACGUUACCGACAGAAUAAGCACCGGCUAACUUCGUGCCAGCAGCCGCGGUAAUACGAAGGGUGCAAGCGUUAAUCGGAAUUACUGGGCGUAAAGCGCGCGUAGGUGGUUUUGUAAGUUGGAGGUGAAAUCCCCGGGCUCAACCUGGGAACUGACUCCAAAACUGCAUGACUAGAGUACGGUAGAGGGUAGUGGAAUUUCCUGUGUAGCGGUGAAAUGCGUAGAUAUAGGAAGGAACACCAGUGGCGAAGGCGACUACCUGGACUGAUACUGACACUGAGGUGCGAAAGUGUGGGGAGCAAACAGGAUUAGAUACCCGAGUAGUCC